CGAGCGGUGUACGGCCAGGUGCCCGGCUGGUCGGUCAGCACCUGCUCGCCGAGAUGGUCCCCGUCGGCGAGCGUGCCCAGCGCGGUCUGGUCCCCGUACUUGCCCGCGCCGGUUUUGUCCACGCGACCGUGCGCGAUCAGCACGAGCUGGUCGGCGGCACGUCCCGACUCCACCACGAGAUCCCCGGCCGACAGGUCGUGCUGGGUGAACCGGUUCGCCAGGGUGCUGAGCACCUCGCUGUCGUCGAACCCGCGCAGCGCGGCCACCUCGCCCAGCUCGGCGGGGAUCACCCGUACCUGGGCGCCGGUACGGACGAACUCGAUGCAUCCGUCGCCGACGGUGUAGGUGAGUCGGCGGUUGACCCGGUAGGUACCGCCCUGGAUGUCCUCCCAGGGCAGGGCGCGCAGUAGCCAGCGCGGGCUGAUGCCCUGCAUCUGGGGCGCGGUCUUGGUUGUGGUGGCCAGGUUCCGCGCCGCGGCGGUGCCCAGGCUCUGCGCGGACUGCCG
rnacentral:antisense_RNA from 1 species